ACCCUUACCUGGCGGGGGAGAUACUAUGAUCACGAAGUCGGUUUUCCCAGGGCAAGGCUCACCCACCACAGUCUGAUGUGCUGACCCCCGCGAUUUCCCCAAAUGUGGGAAACUCGACUGCAUGACUUGUGGUUGUGGGGGACUGGGUUCGCACUCUCCCCUG